rnacentral:lncRNA from 1 species
UUGGAGGAUGGUAAGUUGGCUUAAUCUCAUAUUAUGGAUAAAAAUUGUUCUUGCUUGGUUUGAUCCACUUAUGGUGGAGGUGUUUAAUUAUGGAAUGUAUUGUGACCAUGGCCUUGAAGGCAUAGUAUGAGAAACUUAAGUGUUACAUGACAUUUUUAUGAAUGGACAUUCAAUGAAGAUAAUGUGAUCAUGUUAUGAAAGUAAAUGUGUUAUUAUUGAAAGGAUUUUUCUCAAUUUGACACUCAUGAAUGUUGAUGAUAGAAUAUGAAGGAUUCUCCAAUUUAUUGCAUAUCUCGAAUUGGUAGAGCUUGUGCAUCAUUUUCUUGUGAUCGUCUACCUUAUCCCAUAAACUAUGUGCCCGCAUAGGUAGCUAGUGGAUCCAUUAAGCUAUAUAUACCGGUCUUCCUUAGGCAAGUAGACCACCUCUUUUCGGUGUGGGGACUCAUGACACCGGAUUCCAUGACAAGCUCUCAUGGUCUAUGUCGGUUAAAUGCUUACUUCCCAUCAUGUGAGAUUUCAUUAUGGUUUCUUGACAGGUUCUACAAAGUGUAGGUAGUAGUAUGGGAUGCUACCUAUACAUUGCACGAGUAGGCUUGGAGAGGGUCAUAGUGAGUUUCUCUAAAUCCUAAUGACUGUGACAUGAAUGUACCCUAAAUGAGGUUAUUAAAGAAUGUUGGCUCUUAAAUGCUUAAUAUGUUAUGCAUGUUAUACUUGGGUUAUAUUACGAGUUAUUUUCCCUUGUCAUGUCUUAAUUAAUGAUAUACCUCUUAUGUAUUGAAUAUUGUGCAAAGGUGAAAGAAAGGAAUGAUAAGUUACUUUAAGUGACCUAAAUGUGGUGCCUUAGUAUGGAUGGUGGUAUGGGACGCCAUCCAUACAUUGCACGAGGUAUAGCAUAAGGGUUUCUUGAGGUGAAGGUCCAAGGUAAAGGUUUUCAUGUUGAUAUUGUUUAAAGGUGAUAUUAUGACUUACUUGAUGUUUAUGCUUGUGUUGUAUGUCUUUUAUGCAACUAUUCAUGGUACUUCAAAAAGUGGCAUAAUGCAUGGUUUCUAACCAAAAUGUCCCUUUUAAAGCAUGUUUUGCAUGGUCAUCAUACUUAGUACAUUUUUGUGUACUAACCCAUAUUCUUCAUGUUUUUACUAUAGGUGUAGGUUCCGGCAAGUAAUCCCUCCUAGCUAGUUUGAAGUGUUGGAUUGCUUUCCUCCAAGACUUGGUAUGUCCUCAUGGAUUCGAGGAUAAGACUUUUAAGUUCUUUGUUCAUGUAAUAGACAUUUUUAGUUUUGUUUCGAUUGUAAAGGGUUGUGUCCCUACUUAUGUUUUGUGAUUGUGUCUAAGAUGGCCAUCUGAGACUAAGACUUCCGCUGUAUGUUUUUAAAGUUGUUUUAUUGAAGUUUGAAUGUGUGGAUGUAAAUAAGUUUUUCAUUCCAUAAUAUUAUCAUUAUUGAAUGCAAUGAAUGACUAUAUGGUUUGUAUAAGACCCCUUCGGGGUCGAGUACGCCUUGUUACGACUUGGGGUGCUCCCGGGUCGUGAAAAACAUGGUAUCAGAGCAUAAGAUUUUGGAAAUGGUUUUUAGGAUCAAUGUCUCACAUGCCACGUCUAGUAGAGUCUUGUUCAUCAGUGUGGGUCGCGACACAUCUAUGAGCGAGAUGCUAUAGGAUGUUAGAAGUUACACUUAUUUCAUAUUCUUAAAGUCGUGCCUUAGAGUGUGGUUCUAUAAGUGUUCUUAUCCUAAUCUUUCUCUUGUGUUUAUAAGAUAUGAAUACAAGAGGGAGACCCGCAAAGAGAGUAGGAGAAGAGGAUAUGAAUGAGGAAGUUCCUCCCCAAGGUCCUCAAGACGUCCAAAUUCCGAUAGGAGUUCCGGAUAUGACCAAUGAAGAGAUUAGGAAGGCUUUCUUAAUCUUGGCCCGAGCCAUGGCGGCUCAAGGGACUAAUGAUAUGGGGCCUAGGGUGAAUGCUAAUGAGGGUACUAUGGCUUCUAAGUUGAGAGACUUUGUGAGGAUGAAUCCUCCGGUAUUUCUAGGUUCUAAGGUGGGAGAGGAUCCCCAAGAAUUUUUGGAUGAAGUGUAUAAGGUAGUGAGUGCUAUGGGGGUGACUUCAAAAGAAAAGGCGGAGCUUGCCUCCUAUCAAUUGAAAGAUGUUGCCCAAAUUUGGUUCACUCAAUGGAAGGCUAAUAGGCCGGUGGGAGCAGAUCCUAUAGAAUGGGAGGAGUUUAAGGAAGCUUUCCUUGGUAGGUAUUUUCCCCGUGAGAAAAGGCAGUGUAAGGUUAAGGAGUUUAUCAACCUUAGGCAAGGAAAUGCGAGUGUGCAAGAGUACUCCUUGAGGUUUACCCAAUUGUCUAAGUAUGCCCCAUCUUUGGUGUCAAACCCUAGGGAUGAGAUGAGUAGGUUUGUGACCGGCGUAUCCGACCUAGUCAAGGAAGAGUGCCAUACGGCAAUGCUCCAUAAUGACAUGAACAUUUCUAGGCUCAUAGUGUAUGCUCAAUCCAUUGAGGAGUCCAAACUUAAGAGGAUGAAUAGGAAUGUGAAGAGGGGUAGAUCCGAUGAGCAAAGUCAACCUAGGUUCAAGAAGAGGGCUCAAGAUCAAGAUUUUUCAAGUGCUCCUAAGGUUAACCAAGAUAAAGGUGGUGGAUCUCAAUUUUCUAAACCUACUUGCACCACUUGUGGCAAGAGGCACUAUGGGAAGUGCCUAGCCGGUACUAAUGGAUGCUAUGGUUGUGGGAAGAAUGAUCACAAGGUGAAAGAUUGUCCUACUUUUACGGCUAGAGGAAGGGAGGCAAAGCAAGCUUCUAAAGAUGGAACGGUUCCUAUUCCUCCAAAUUAUGGUGGUUUCUAUGUUCUCCAAGCUAGCAAGGACAAAGAAGCUAAUCUGAAUGAAGGCGCCGGUAAGUUUUAGUUCCUUAUGGUCAUGAAUGUCUUGAUGAGGUUUCUAUGGUGUUGUUUUUCAUGUUUGCCUUAAUUGGGUUUUCUUCUAAGUGGGGGAUGGUAGGUUGAAUAGCAAGGUUGUUGAGAGUGUUGAUAUCCUUAUCUCAUUCCUUCUAUUCUUAAUCAAGCUUGAGACCAAGAGUUCCUAGUAGCUUGUUUUAUGUUUUGGAGUCUUGGGUGAAAAUGAGUUUCCAUGUCUCCUUAUGUUAUGCAUGUUCUAAUUGAAUUCUUGUUAAAUGAUAAAAUGAGUUUUCAUAAAUGUGUUCCUCAUGUUGAUGUGCAUUUAGUUGAGUUGUCUAUAUGCUUCAUGAGGAUAAAUGUUGAACAUGCUUAAAUGUUGCAUAAUUGUACUUUUAUGAGAAAAUUGCAUAAUGUGCCUAAUAAUUUUGGGAUGAGUGUGAUGUAAAUUGGAGAAGGAAGUUCAUCCAAUGAAAUGAGAAAUGGUAAAGUUUGAUGCAUAAGGAAUUGGUAGAUGUAUUCCUAAUUUCUUGAAUUGCAUGAAGUUGUUUGAGCCUCAUUGAUGUGGAGUUGAUGUUUCCUCCGAUAUUUAUGUACUUGUAUUGAUGUUGUAUGCAUGUUGAUGGGCUGUAUACUUGAGUUGUUACCCCUUUUUGUUGACAUGUUAUGAUUGUUGGGAUGCUAGUCUUGAGUUGUUUUUCCCUUAAUGUGUUUAAAGUGUCAUUCGAGGACGAAUGUUCCUAAGUGGGGAAUAAUGUAACGACUCGGAAAAUGAUAGAAUGAACUUGAGCAUUGACGUUUGGGUUAGUGGGAGCUUAGGUUGAUGUUUAUGCUGUUUUAGAACUUAAAUGGAGCUAGGUAUCAUCCUAGGGUGCAAGCAACGGCCUAGGCUAGCAAGUUAGCCUAGUGGACUGCCCAGUUGACCAGCCUUUGAGUAAUCCCACUAGAACGGACGGGCAAGGGGCAGAUUUUUAAAGUUACGACUUGUAGGUUCAACUUCAAAUGAUGAUAUCUUUUAGCUCAAAACGAAUUAGGUGGACCAUUACCUAUCCAAUUAAAGGUAUUUGAGUCCUCUUUACAACGCCACCGAGUUUUCCCUUUUCCGAUGUCGGAGUAAAAAGUAAUGCCCAAAAUAGUGAAGCACUGUCAAAAAGGACGAGCUUAGACGGGUUUAGUGAAAACUUUUAAGUUUAACUUUGUGGGUCCUUAAUUGUCUUCCUAAGUAGAGUCCCUAUUAUUCUCUACCUUUGCUAGCAAUUAUAAAACCCUUUUAGACGCAAAAUUCUUCCAUUUAAGUCACUUCAAUUAGAAUUAGAAAGAAACCCACCUCCUCUCAAAUAUUUCUCUCUACAAUCCUCCAUCUAAGAAGUUCAAGCACUUGGAGCUAGGGCUUGGUUUGAAGGUGGUUUCUUCAUCAAUUUUCUUGGGGAAUCUUAACAAAUGUAUGGUGACCCUUGAGCCUUGAUUAUCUUUCCUUCAAGGAGUCCAUUAAAAAGGGUUUCAAAAGUUUUCAAAGAACAAAACUUCUAUUUUUCUAAUCUAGGUAUGGGUUCAUUGGUAAAAUGUUUUCAAAGUCAUUAUAUUGGUGAAUUGAAGUUCUAUUUAUGAUUUUAAGAUGAUUUUAUAUGAAACUUCUUCAAGAACCCAUGUUUUCAUUAAAAGCCUAGAAUUUGCUUAUGAAGUGGGUUUAAUGCCUAUGAUUUAAUGUGGAUAAAAUUGUGUUUAGAUCAGAUUGUAUUAUUGAUUUAUAUGGUUUUGUAUAUCUAUUUAUGAUGACUUAUUGGUAUAUGGAUGAAUUGAGGAUUGUGGCCUUAUGGGCAAGUUAUGGGUGAAUCACAUUGUGGUGAUAGAAUUGUUGGGAAUUGAGUAAUGGUUAUUAUGGCUUUGGAGGAUGGUAAGUUGACUUAAUCUCAUAUUAUUAGUAGGAUUGUUCUUGAUGAUGAUGCACUUGAAAGGUGGAGGUGUUUAAUUAUUUUGUACAUUGUGACCAUGGCCUUGAAGGCAUAGUAUGAGAAAUUUAAGUGUUACAUGACAUUUUAUGAAUGGACAUUCAAUGGAGCUAAUGUGAUCAUGUUAUGAACGUAAAUGUGUUAUUAUUGAGAGGAUUUUUCUCAAUUUGACACUCAUGAAUGUUGAUGAUAGAAUAUGAAGGAUUCUCCAAUGUAUUGCAUAUCUCGAAUUGGUAGAGCUUGUGCAUCCUUUUCUUGUCUAAAUGAUUAUAUUGUUGGUUGUUGAAUCCUCGAAUCGGUAGGCUAGUAGCACCCCUCCACUCAUGAUAAAAAUGAACCUUGGAAUUGGUAGGCUAAUGACACCCUUCCAUUAAUGAUAGUAAUGAACCUUGGGAUCGGUAGGCCUAUGGCACCUUUCCAUGAAGGUUAAUGAUGAGACUUGAACCGGUAGGCCCAUGGCACCCUUUCAAGAGGAGUUAAUGAGCUUUCCUAAAUGAACCUUGAAACGGUAGGCUUAAAGCACCCUUUCACGUGUUAAUGAAUGUAAUUUGGAAUCGGUAGGCCUAUGGCACCUUUCCAUGAAGGUUAAUGAUGAGACUUGAACCGGUAGGCCCAUGGCACCCUUUCAAGAGGAGUUAAUGAGCUUUCCUAAAUGAACCUUGAAACGGUAGGCUUAAAGCACCCUUUCACGUGUUAAUAAAUGUAAUUUGGAGUUGGUAGGCCAAUGGCACCUCUCAUAUGUGAUAAUGUCAAGGUAACGAACUAUUCUAUGGGAAUGUAGGCUAAGCACCGAGCGGAUUUGGUUAGAUGGAAACUCCCCCGACAGUUAGGCAUGAGUUUCAAUGAUCGUCUACCUUAUCCCAUAAACUAUGUGCCCGCAUAGGUAGCUAGUGGAUCCAUUAAGCUAUAUAUACCGGUCUUCCUUAGGCAAGUAGACCACCUCUUUACGGUGUGGGGACUUAUGACACCGGAUUCCAUGACAAGCUCUCAUGGUCUAUGUCGGUUAAAUGCUUACUUCCCAUCAUGUGAGAUUUCAUUAUGGUUUCUUUAGACCCAUUACAAGCCUUCAAAAGACCUUUUUGAUCUUGAGUUAGCUGAAACAAUUGUUGAUUGGAAAAUACAGGCAAACCUAUGGGUGAAAACAUACAUUUUGUACUUCUUUGUGAGAGUGAGAGUUACAUUUCAUUCCGGAGCUUUAAAUGAUU